GGGGAAUUUUCCGCAAUGGGCGAAAGCCUGACGGAGCAAUACCGCGUGAGGGAUGAAGGCCUAUGGGUUGUAAACCUCUUUUUUCAGGGAGGAAUCAAUGACGUGUACUUGAAGAAUAAGCAUCGGCUAACUCCGUGCCAGCAGCCGCGGUAAGACGGAGGAUGCAAGUGUUAUCCGGAAUCACUGGGCGUAAAGCGUCUGUAGGUGGUUUAGUAAGUCAACUGUUAAAUCUUGAGGCUUAGCCUCAAAAUCGCAGUCGAAACUAUUAGACUAGAGUAUAGUAGGGGUAGAGGGAAUUUCCAGUGGAGCGGUGAAAUGCGUAGAGAUUGGAAAGAACACCGAUGGCGAAGGCACUUUACUGGGCUAUUACUGACACUCAGAGACGAAAGCUAGGGUAGCAAAUGGGAUUAGAUACCCCAGUAGUC
rnacentral:rRNA from 1 species